UACGGAGGGGGCUAGCGUUGUUCGGAAUUACUGGGCGUAAAGCGCGCGUAGGCGGACCUGCAAGUCGGGGGUGAAAGCCCGAGGCUCAACCUCGGAACUGCCUUCGAUACUGCGGGUCUCGAGUCCGGGAGAGGUGAGUGGAAUUCCUAGUGUAGAGGUGAAAUUCGUAGAUAUUAGGAAGAACACCAGUGGCGAAGGCGGCUCACUGGCCCGGUACUGACGCUGAGGCGCGAAAAGCGUGGGGAGCAAACAGG
rnacentral:rRNA from 1 species